rnacentral:rRNA from 1 species
UACGAAGGGGGCUAGCGUUGCUCGGAAUCACUGGGCGUAAAGGGCGCGUAGGCGGCCAUUCAAGUCAGAGGUGAAAGCCCAAGGCUCAACCUUGGAAUUGCCUUUGAUACUGAGGAUCUUGAGUAUGGGAGAGGUGAGUGGAACUGCGAGUAUAGAGGUGAAAUUCGUAGAUAUUCGCAAGAACACCAGUGGCGAAGGCGGCUCACUGGCCCAUUACUGACGCUGAGGCACGAAAGCGUGGGGAGCAAACAGG